rnacentral:rRNA from 1 species
UACGGGGGGGGCAAGCGUUGUUCGGAAUUACUGGGCGUAAAGGGCGCGUAGGCGGCCUGCUAAGUCGGAUGUGAAAUCCCUCGGCUCAACCGAGGAACUGCAUCCGAUACUGGCGGGCUUGAGUCCGGGAGAGGGAUGUGGAAUUCCAGGUGUAGCGGUGAAAUGCGUAGAUAUCUGGAGGAACACCGGUGGCGAAGGCGGCAUCCUGGACCGGUAUUGACGCUGAGGCGCGAAAGCGUGGGGAGCAAACAGG